rnacentral:rRNA from 1 species
CCUACGGGCGACUGCAGUGGGGAAUAUUGGACAAUGGGGGGAACCCUGAUCCAGCGACGCCGCGUGAGUGAAGAAGUAUUUCGGUAUGUAAAGCUCUAUCAGCAGGGAAGAAAAUGACGGUACCUGACUAAGAAGAAGCCCCGGCUAACUACGUGCCAGCAGCCGCGGUAAUACGUAGGGGGCAAGCGUUAUCCGGAUUUACUGGGUGUAAAGGGAGCGUAGACGGCGGGGCAAGUCUGGAGUGAAAGGCCGGGGCCCAACCCCGGGACCGCUCUGGAAACUGCCCGGCUGGAGUGCGGGAGAGGUAAGCGGAAGUCCUAGUGUAGCGGUGAAAUGCGUAGAUAUUAGGAGGAACACCAGCGGCGAAGGCGGCUUACUGGACCGUGACUGACGUUGAGGCUCGAAAGCGUGGGGAGCAAACAGGAUUAGAUACCCGGGUAGUC